GACGAACGCUGGCGGCGUGCCUAAUACAUGCAAGUCGAACGAGUGGCGGACGGGUGAGUAACACGUGGGUAACCUACCCAUCAGAGGGGGAUAACACUUGGAAACAGGUGCUAAUACCGCAUAGUGGGGGCUGGGCUCGCGGCCUAUCCGUUUGUUGGUGAGGUAGUGGUCACCAAGGCGUGACGGGUAGCCGGCAUGAGGGCGGGACCGGCCACACUGGGACUGAGACACGGCCCAGACUCCUACGGGAGGCAGCAGUGGGGAAUAUUGCACAAGGGGCGAAAGCCUGAUGCAGCGACGCCGCGUGGGGGAUGACGGCCUUCGGGUUGUAAACCUCUUUCAGCAAGGAAGCGGUACUUGCAGAAGAAGCGCCGGCUAACUACGUGCCAGCAGCCGCGGUAAUUC
rnacentral:rRNA from 1 species